AUGGAGGAGACGCCAAAAACACUAGUGACUGUAUUACUUGAUGAAAAGGAGAUAUGCAAAAAACUUCAGCAUCUCAAGAGUGUAGCAGAAAUAAUUGAUGCUUCCAAAUGUCUCCUACCAUGUGCUGCAGAGUACCACAGAAUUUUGAAAUUUAAUGCUGAUUUUAAUGAAUUUAUUGACACUGACCUAACUGAAAAAGUGGAAAACAAGGAUAAGUUUCAAGUUUUGUUUAAGUCAAUUCAGAGAACUGGAUCACAGGCAUUGAAUGGAAAGGGGGAUGCCGAUGCAGCCAGUCCAAGUCAUCAAUAGAAAGUAUGUAUGUUCAAGGAGGACUUAAGAAUAGAAUACAAGUAAUAUGCUUGAAGUUUUUUUUUUUUUUAAGGUUGCACCAAAGAACAUACCAGAACCUGGUUCAAGUAGUCAACAGAAGGUUUGUAAGUAAGUGCUGAAAUAACAGCACUCUGUUCACUAUUUGUAUUACUCUGUUUGACUUUGUUUGCCCAUUCCAGAGAAAAUUUGUACAUUUUGCCAGUUCAUGUUGACAAGUGUCUUCAUAAGUGAGUUUAACCAGUUCAUUCAAAGAUGCAAAUUCAUUCUGAAACAGUAUAAGGAAGUGACUUUGAGUAAGUGAAUCAUUAACUCAUCUAAUUAGAAAUACUUUGUGUCUCUUAUAUUUCCAGCGUCAACGUAAUAGAAUUGAUGUAGACACUCUGCGAGCACUAAUUGAAAGCAAAGGUCUGAGUAUAUUGAAGGAUUAUGAAGCUUCAGGAAUGCUUUCAGAGACAUCAAGAAAAGUCCUUGUGAAGAUAGGUGUCAGUGCGUUGGUGGAACAAAGUGGAUUUUACCCUUGUAAUGAUGAGAAGCGGAUGUUGGCAGAAAGUGUAGUAACACUGUUUCCUUCUCUGAAGAUCAAGAUGGGAGAAGAGAAUGAAGGAUUUGAACAUUUCUAUGACCCAGUCUCCCACAGUGGAUUUAUUGAGAUGAGACUUAGAAAUCUACGGAGGAAACUUUGUGAUGAUCAGCGUCGUUA